GGAGGGCAAGUCUGGUGCCAGCAGCCGCGGUAAUUCCAGCUCCAAUAGCGUAUAUUAAAGUUGUUGCAGUUAAAAAGCUCGUAGUUGAAUUUCGGGGUCAGCAGGUUGGUCGUGCCUCUGGUAUGUACUGGUUUUGCUGAUUCCUCCUUCUUGAAGAACCGUAAUGCCAUUAAUUUGGUGUUGCGGGGAAACAGGACUGUUACUUUGAAAAAAUUAGAGUG
rnacentral:rRNA from 1 species